rnacentral:lncRNA from 1 species
CAGGAAUUGUAACCAACUACCAAAGAGAAAACUAGUGCAACUCCUUUGACUUCAGCAGAGAUGCAUUUGUGUGUGAGGACUGAAUCUGACCUCUGUUUUUAAGCUAGGCCUUCCAUUUUAAAGGACAUCGUCCUGCAGCUCUUAUUCAUGGGAGAAGUCCCACUGACAUUCAUUUGCAUUUUCCUCAUCAGUAAGAACUAAAAGAUCAGACUAUACCAACAGGACAGUCCUUUUGGCUAAUCUGGAGUUGUUGACAUACUUCCAUUUCCAG